rnacentral:rRNA from 1 species
AAGGCGCUUGAGAGAACUCGGGUGAAGGAACUAGGCAAAAUGGCACCGUAACUUCGGGAGAAGGUGCGCCGGUGAGGGUGAAGCAUUUACUGCGUAAGCCCAUGCCGGUCGAAGAUACCAGGCCGCUGCGACUGUUUAUUAAAAACACAGCACUCUGCAAACACGAAAGUGGACGUAUAGGGUGUGACGCCUGCCCGGUGCCGGAAGGUUAAUUGAUGGGGUUAGUUUUCGGACGAAGCUCUUGAUCGAAGCCCCGGUAAACGGCGGCCGUAACAAUAACGGUCCUAAGGUAGCGAAAUUCCUUGUCGGGUAAGUUCCGACCUGCACGAAUGGCGUAACGAUCUGGGCACUGUCUCAACGAGAGACUCGGUGAAAUUGUAGUAGCGGUGUAGAUGCCGUUUACCCGCAGCUAGACGGAAAGACCCCGUGAACCUUUACUACAGCUUGGCACUGAACAUUGAACCUACAUGUGUAGGAUAGGUGGGAGGCUUUGAAGCACAGUCGCUAGAUUGUGUGGAGCCGUCCUUGAAAUACCACCCUUGUAUGUUUGAUGUUCUAACAUUGUUCCCUUAUCGGGAAUGUGGACAGUGUCUGGUGGGUAGUUUGACUGGGGCGGUCUCCUCCCAAAUAGUAACGGAGGAGCACGAAGGUUAGCUAAUCACGGUCGGACAUCGUGAGGUUAGUGCAAUGGCAUAAGCUAGCUUAACUGCGAGACAGACACGUCGAGCAGGUACGAAAGUAGGUCAUAGUGAUCCGGUGGUUCUGUAUGGAAGGGCCAUCGCUCAACGGAUAAAAGGUACUCCGGGGAUAACAGGCUGAUACCGCCCAAGAGUUCAUAUCGACGGCGGUGUUUGGCACCUCGAUGUCGGCUCAUCACAUCCUGGGGCUGAAGUCGGUCCCAAGGGUAUGGCUGUUCGCCAUUUAAAGUGGUACGCGAGCUGGGUUUAGAACGUCGUGAGACAGUUCGGUCCCUAUCUGCCGUGGGUGUAGGAUACUUGAGAGGAGUUGCCCCUAGUACGAGAGGACCGGGGUGAACGAUCCACUGGUGGACCUGUUGUUGCGCCAGCAGCAGUGCAGGGUAGCUAUGAUCGGACAGGAUAACCGCUGAAGGCAUCUAAGCGGGAAGCCCCCCUCAAAACAAGGUAUCCCUGAGGACCGUGGUAGACCACCACGUCGAUAGGCCGGAGAUGUAAGUGCAGCAAUGCAUUCAGU